CCUACGGGUGGCAGCAGUAGGGAAUCUUCCACAAUGGGCGCAACCCUGAUGGAGCAACACCGCGUGAGUGAAGAAGGGUUUCGGCUCGUAAAGCUCUGUUGUUGGAGAAGAACGUGCGUAUGAGUAAAUGAUCACUCAAUGACGGUACCCAACCAGAAAGUCACGGCUAACUACCUGCCAGCAGCCGCGGUAAUACGUAGGUGGCAAGCGUUAUCCGGAUGGAUUGGGCGUAAGGGGUGCGCAGGCGGUUGUUUAGGUCAGAAGUGAAAGGCGUGGGCUUAACCGAAGAAGUGCAUUGGAAACUGGGGGACUAGAGUGCAGGAGAGGACGGCGGAACGCAAGGUGUAGCGGUGAAAUGCGUAGAUAUAUGGAAGAACACCAGUGGCGAAGGCGGCUGUCUGGACUGUAACUGACGCUGAGGCACGAAAGCGUGGGGAGCGAACAGGAUUAGAUACCCGAGUAGUC
rnacentral:rRNA from 1 species